UUCAAGGGUUAACUUAGCUAUUUCCUGCCGGCUGCCCACAGCGUUCAGAUACCAGAUGGGCAAGUUGAAUGGCAUAGGAGGCGUGAAGGCCCCUGGCAGCUUCCAAGACAAGAAAAGGAAAUGCCCUUUGGUGGCAUCCGGGAAUCUCAGCCUCCAGGCUGGGACUGUUGCCUGGGAGACAAGGAGCACCGAAGACCUGGCCGGGGGGAGACCACUCUUGGAGGACAGUGGCCAGGAGUGAAAGGAGAGGACCUGAUGGCAACCCCCGGAGAGCUCUGCUAAGCAUGGCUGUGCCCAUUUUACAGAGGAAGAAACUGAGACUCUGUAAGGCUAAUUGACUCAGUAAAGGUCAUGAGACUUAGAAGAUGCAAAGCUGAGAGCCAAAUCCCAAGGCCCAGUUCCCUUCCUGUCUCCCCGCACCCCUCCACAUCACCUCCAGCCCUGCUCGGUGCAAUACAUACAUAGACACGCGGGCAAAGCAUCUGCCAUCACCUCAGGAAGCAUGAAAGGAACUUUCGUGUCGCUGGGCAGCUGCCAGGGACCGCCUCUCAGCCUCAUUCCCCAGUGCCAAGAGCGCGUCACCUCCUUAGCCAGCGCUCAGCACAUACUUGUAGAAUGAAUGAGUCGGCUUGUAUGAGCGCAAAUUCCUUAAUCAAAAGUCAUGGGCUGCAAAAUCCCAGGAAAGCAGGUAAAAUUGACGUCAUGUUUCCUGCCUUGCAGUCGACUGGAAUGUGCAGGCUGGUGACCGGACAGGCCUUCUGCAACGCUAUCCAAGCCCAGGAAAUGCAUCACAGCCGCCAUCAAAGACAAGUUAGCACCUGACGUAAAUUUGAACUUCACAGUCCAAAGCGGAUGUGAUGGCCUUCUUCCCUUGAUGGCCUCCUCUCCAUGCAAUGAGAGGCGGGGGGCAGAGAAGAUUGGGGUGAAGGUGGGGGAAGCUACAGAACUGGCUUAGGGGACACACGCUCCCUCAGGAAUUUCUAGAGGAUGUUGGAGUCAAGAUCAGACAGGAAGAGAGGAGCCAGAUAACCCAGGCAGAAGUGGGCGGGGCUGUGGGGCCCCCCUCCCUGGAGGUAUUAUUUCAGUCCCAGCAUGACCACUCAGCUGACACAACUGUGAGUGUGUUGGGGGAGGAGCAGGGGGCAGAGGCAGCGCAUUGGGAAGGGAGGGGCAGCGCUGGUAUGACUGUAAUUCCCAGGGCGAUGCAGGUGAUUCAGGGCCCCACUUGGCCUACCCAGUGGGGCUCUACCAGGGCUCCACUUGUAGGAAAACAAGUCAGAAAAAGCCAGGGGCCAGUGCUGGAGACUCUUAUCUCCAAUAAACUACGCAGAAAAAGCCA